CCUUGGAAGGCACUCCUCCUGCCCCCCAGCUUUCUGGUCACAGCUCAGCACGCUGUGAAGGUUAAAGGGAGACAGGGCGGGCUUGAGCGACUCGGCAGAGUAGACAGGCUCCUGGGGAAUGUGCAUCCAUUUAAGGAAGGCAGCUCAUCCUGCAGCACCAGGUCUAUAUACAGUAACGAGUCCCUUCCCUCCUGCUCUCGGGGGAAUGUCGCCCUCCACAGACACCAGCGCGAGGAAGGAGCCCCUCCAGUUGUAGGAACAGGAGACUACAAGUCCUACCUGCGGCGGUCUCUCCCGUUCCCUACCCCACUGCGGAUGCGCCAAGGCUCCACCACCAUGUGACCUGUCGAGGCCUGUGACUACUAUGUCCCUGAUUCCUAGCAGAGCAAUGGUUCAUGGGACAGACGAGUUAGAGGAUUCCAGACAGCUCUGCACAGGUGCCAGCAAGGGACAGAGCCUCCUGCCUGGGACAGGUGGCUCUCUUGCCUGCCUUGAGGUUUAGAUUCCCAGCUCCCACUUAGUAAACAAGUUCAUAAGGAAAAGAGCCACCUCUGCCACAACAGGUCCCAGCUAAUCUGGGCCAUCACUGGGGCAGCAGGUACCGAGUGCCACCCGUGUGGAGUCGAUAACAGGGGAGGUAGCAGGGGUCCCGGGAGCCACAGUAAUUACAGACUCUCUUGACCCUGCAUCGGAUUCUUCGAAGGAAGGGGGGAAAAAUUACUGAAAACCCCCCUGAAAACCUCAUAGAAGCAGAAAUUAAAAAUGAACUUUACAGCCCUUAGAAAGGCUGUCAUUUUAUUCCCCUUAUUAAUAUUCUGAGGUUGGGAGCCUUUCCGUAAAAACAUAAUUAAUUGAGGCCGCGCCGACAGUAAACAAGCAAUUUCAAAUUAAACCGAAAUGACGGCGGCUUCAUUUGCAAAUGUGAACAGAUUCUCAGAGCAGAUAAAUGAAGUCACCACAGAGUGGAGACGAGGGAGAGGGAGGGGCCGAGAAGGGGCUGCGUUAGGACGCUUUGAGGGGUGACUUGAUGGAGUCAUUAAUCUUUACCUGUCUGGGCCACGGUGCCACUCAGUUCCGAGAGACUCGCUGCCAUCCUCUCCAGCUGCUUUCUGUCCUCUCGGCCUCCCAGGAUGAGGGGCAGCAGGUACCUCUGCAAGAAGUGGUCAGGUGAGGAGGUGGCCAACACCGGUCUCUCAGAUCCCACCUCCCUGCUUGCCCUCAUCUUCUGCAGGUUACCCCACAGAAGAGCUGCACUCUCCACACUAGAAACAAAGUGCUUGAAAAAGUUACAAGCCUGAGAUCCCGGCCUGGUAAGAACUUCCACCUGAACAGGGACCAAGACCAGAAGGAAGUGAGCCUCCAGGUGGGGCUGGGGGCAAGCAGCGUCUCUGAGCUAACUCCCCAGCCUUGGGAAGUCCUCCCUGUGUGAGGGAGGCCUUAUUACUUUCUCUUACUUCCCUUAGAUACCUCACAUUCCUGUGAGGCUUUUAGAUUCUAUUUCAAAAGUUCUAAGCAGAGACUGCAGAAAGAUGUUCCAGAAACGGACCCUAUGGUGGCUCCUGGGGAGGAGAGCUAGGCAGCUUCUCACCGCACCCUUUCUGAAUCUUUCACACUUCAACUCUGCGAAGGAAACAAACCGCCUCAGCGAUCCAGAAACAGUAUUAGGUUUGAGUAAACACAGCAUUACUGGAGAAACCAGAGGAAAAUCAACAGACGCCCGGGAUCGUUCAUCUUCCAUGGUAGGGUAAGGCAUGCACAGGGAAAGCACCCUACAGCAGGAGGUGCGCACUUCACAAAGAGAGCCAGGACAGCCUAUAUCCUCCCAGAACCCAAAGGUGGGGCCGAGGGAAAGGGACACAGAAAGCCAAAGCUGGUGACUGCAAAGCCACCAAACAAGGGUCCUGGAACCAGCCUCUCCAUCAUUAGGAAGGCGAGGGCACACCUGUAGGGCUUGGGACGCUGAUGUACAACAAGGGCUGAGGUAGAGUUGUUAGGUCCCCAGUCGAGGGGGCACAGUCCACUCCAACCCUAGAGCACACUACUCAGCUAACCACAGGAGCCUGGCAGGUGCUGCCCAGAGGGAACGUAGGGUCCCAGACAGGUCAAAGAGGGACUGUUCUCCACUGCCGGUUGGCUCUGUGCUAGGGAAGAGAAGCAGGUCUCUCAGGGGUUUGUGGGAGAACUCAUUUCAGGAGAGACUCAGAGUGAGCUUGUCAUUUAGCACAUGCACAGAAGCAGUUUCUAUUUCGCAAAGUGCUUUGCAGCCACAAUGUGAGUUAUUACCCACAACUGAGCGAAACUCAUCAACUGCAGCCUGACGCUUCCAAAGUAUAAAAGUCAAGAAAUUCUCAGCUGUAUAACCAGCGACCCCCAUCCCUGAGGCCAGAGCCCGUGAGCGGGAAGUGUUGCCGCUGAUCUGGCUAAGUCUGUGUUUGUGCAAAGCAAGACAGCUCCACUUUUCUAUACUUAAAGAAUACUACUAACAUGCUGAAGACACGACACCAUUGUGACCAACAUUUCAAUGUUUCCUUUCUUUGUAAAACACAGGCUGGUGGCCAGAGCUCCAUGGAAACAGAUGACAAUCUCUGUCAUAUCUGAACCAAGGUGCCACACCUCCUGUUCUGUGGGGUUGCCACUGUGAUGAGACACUUGUGAGCUGCUCACAGGACCCUGGUACUUGUGAACUCUGCUGGUACCUGUCUGCAGCUAGUGGGCUAAGAAAGGCUGCCCCACACAGGCUCCACAGACGCUCAGGGGGGAGUUCCAGGCCUGACAACAAUUUGCUUCUGAAUUCCUGCACAGGCAUUUCUUAUUUUGGCAUCAGGCACUAUCCUGAAGAGUUACAUUCUGCCACAACUCUGUCAUUAGCUAUUGUAGGAAGUAAAAAACUAAGAAUCUAAGGUUUAAACAAGGUUUAAAUACAUUUCAUGUGCUCAAAGAUACACUGCAAGCCUGGGAAUUCAGUAGAGUCCUUUAAAGAAGAAAAAAGAGAAAAAGAAAAGAAAAGAAAAACAGUCACUAAAUGCAGGCUGGAUUAGUGGGAGGCGUCAGUGGAGAACAUGACUUCUCUCCAGGGUAAGCAGGCCUAAAUGUGGGGCCAUCCAGGCUGUGCAUCUUGUAGAUUAGUUUCUCCAAAGCAAGGACAGGCCUUUCCACUGGUAUUGGGAGGAAAUGUUGGUUCAGUGCCUUUAGUUCUGCUGUGAGCAUCGUGAGCUACGAGCUCUUGAGGGCUCGCUGACUCAAAAGGCCCAGGGAAACUCCCACAUUUAUACAGAUGCUACCACAGUCCACAGAAAACAAGAAGUGUGCUUCCUGAGCCAGUUGUAAAUACCAGGGUGGAACAAGGGCAUCUAUGGGGCUUCCCACGUGCCAGCAGGCAGGGAGCCAACACUGCUCCAGCACUAUUCCAGGACUGACUCCUGGCCUUCCCUGAAACCCUGAGGCCAGUUCUGCAGAUGCUGGAAGCCAUCACAUGGAGAAGAUGCACUCAUACUCCUGACCUGUGCUCCCGCUCUGCCUUCAGUGUGCUCAGACUAUUGCUGGAGCAGCUGGGCAAACCCAUUAAAAUCAAAGCCUCUGUUGGUGCUCACUGCCUCUGUUCCUUUUCUGAGUAUCGUACUCACAGUACCGACUGAUAUGGGCAGGCACACUUUCACAACACUGCAAAGUCGGACUAUCUGUCUCAGGAACAUCUUAUGGAUGGAGCUGUACUCUGGGACAGAGUCAGGUUCAACACAUAUAGCUAGGCUCUGAUGUGCAAGCCCGUAACGACUAAAUCGCUCUGCUUCUGCAAUCUGCAUGUUUCUCAGUGGUGCCAGGCACUGCUCUAAAUACUUGAGCCAGCCGGCCAUCAGGUCAUACUGCGGGUGGGAGUCAGGGUGGCGAGGUGAAGCAGCAGUGCUGUGUGCAUUCAUGUCUCUCCUGCUGUGCUCCCUGCUUCCACCACAGCCGCUGUGCUCUGAAUGCCUGUGUACAUAAUAAGCCAGGGGCCAGGAGGGAGGACAGAGGAGGGAGGAGGGAGGAAUACCAAAGGGUGGCAGGGCAUAACAUGGUGGCCCUGAGAGGCCACUUACCUUGUAGAGUUGGUGAAAGCCAAAUGCAAUUCCUGCCAUGAUGAUAGCCAAGGCACCAUAAUCUCGCCAUCGGGAGCCUCUGGGGCCUGGGGUAGAAAGGAAGGAAGAAGAAACUAGAACAGGUCUCUGCCCAGGAGUGUCGCAGCGGACAGGCCAGUGAGACACACAGCUGCAGAAAGCACGUGACCAUCAGAACAUCAGGGCUCGGCUCUGCCCUCUCUUCUUUCCAAGGUCCCAGAACUGUCUGCCUCACUUGAGAUGGAAGUGAUCUGACCGUGAGAUGCUGGGAAGAGGUAUCCAGCUGUGAGCCUAGUGCCCAGCCAUGGAGGUCAGAAGGCAGAGGGGACAGAAGGACCUUUGGCCUGGCCUCAUGAGAUCAAGGAACAGGAUCAUUCUAGAGGCCGGUUAGUGUGCGCACACCACAUGGAGGACAAACCAGGGGUCAAUGAUAAACCUGGGCCUCUCUGCUCUGCUCAUUCCUUAGGCUAUGAAGACACAAGUCUGCCAAGGACCAAGGCUUGUCUCCUGGAGGCAGAGUGAGUGGGGUGGAGAAGACAGGCCAGGGGCCUGGAGCCCUUGCCCUCCACAGUGGGAAGUAACACGGUUGCAACUCUAUUCUAGGAGAGCACUGGCAAGCCCUGGUGGGCACACCCUUCCAAGGGCUGCAGAGGCCAAGGGAGCUUUAGAAGGAGAACUUCUAAAUUUGCCAUUUGGUUGAGGAUCUGGAAUGAGCAUCUAAUGCCCACCGCAGGGCAGGCUCCAGUUCACACCGACCAGCACAUGUAGGCCCGUGCAACAUUUAUUGUGUUUCCUUUCUCCAACUGUGUUCUGAAAACUGUAAACAGAAAAAUCCAGAAAAAAAACAGCCCAGAGGCCUUGGAGUGUACAGCACGCUAAGCAGCAGGAUGGAUGGAAUCUCAGCCAUGCGCUCUGACCCCCCCCACCCCACCCCCAGGACAGCGCAUCCACGCCGACAUGCUACUUGCCCUUCAUGUACUGAUCACCAUCUCAGCUCUCUCUCAGACUGUCUUAGUAUCUCACUGCAGAGUCUAAGUGAGCCUUAUUUCACUUAACAAUGGCCUCAAAGCAUAAGGGCAGAGACAUUGAUAAUUUGAAUCUGCCUAAGAAAAGCCAAGUGUUUCCCUUAAGAGGAAAAAGUGAAAGUUCUCUGUAAGGAAAAAAAAUAUGCUGGGCUGCCAAAGAUCAGCCAUGUAAUGGGGGUGGGGCAUGCCUUGUAAUAUAGCAUAGUUAGGCUCUAUCACUGUUAAUCUCACUGUGCCUGAUCUGUGAGUUAAUCUUCUAACAGCUGUGUACAUAGAGGGCCCAGUUUCAGGCUUCUACUGCCCUGGGCCAUGUCCCCUGUGGGCAGAAUCCCCACAGCUCCAGACGAGAGUGCACAAGAAAGGAGGAUUCCUCCCCCCACAAACAGUUCACAAGGGGCUUUGGGGAUGUAAUCUGGCCUGCUCUCUCUAGGCCUCUGGAACAGAAGUCAAGGCUGCCUCCUCUCAUGGGAUCUGCCAGGAGGAAGGACAGAGGCCAUGGCGGGCACUCUUGGCAGGCAUGGAUGAAACAAGGUACUGUGUCAGUGGAAAAAUUGCCUACAAGAUGCCCAACGGGCUCUGCUGUGAGAAAAGCUGCCUUCCUCCAAAGAGAUGUGUGAUACAAUUCUGUCUGCGGCAAAAUGAAGAGAGGAAAAACUCAGAUGCAAAAGCCUUUCCUACUGCACGGCUUCAAGGGUAAGAGGGUCCACUCAAGCCCUCACACUGGGUCACUCCUCAGUUCCCACCAUCUGCCUCCUGCCUGCAGCCCACUCUGAGAACAAACAGGCUUUCCCGAGUGCAGUGGACUCUCCUCACCGCACUCCUGAGUCUGGAAGCAACCACAGGGCCAGCAACUUGCCGGCUCCAGUUGGGAAGGACCGGGACAUGAGAAGCUCCUGCGAAAAUCGCUGCAUUGUCUCAUUUACUCAGAUGAAUAAGGGCUGAAUGGACACGAGUGGACGCAGGGACAACUAACUUCUCCUCUCGCCACGUGGGUCCCAGGGAUUAAACUCGGGUCAUCAGGCUUGGUGGCAAGAGCCUGCACCCAACUGAGCCAGCUUUUCCGCCUGAGUAAGCUAUCCAACUGGGGCCGGAAGGAUGGCUCAGCAUCGAGUCCUUGCUGUUCUUCCAGAGGACAUGAGUUUGGUUCCCAGCAUCCGUGUAGCAGCUUACAACUGUCUGUGACUGCAG